rnacentral:ncRNA from 1 species
AUCGGGAGAACCGGCCCGCGCGGCCGGUGCCGAAGGAGCAACCGCCCCGGAAACUCUCAGGCGUCCGGACCGAUC